rnacentral:lncRNA from 1 species
CUCAUCUUUCUUACCCCGUAAUAAAUGCUGCCCUUUUAAGUGUCUUAUUACGUUUUACUUGAUCCAAAUUGAAUUCCAAUAUCGAUCUUUACAGUUUAAUCGUGUAUAGCAGCCUUAAAAGUGGUAAAACUAUCUACUGAAACAUGUCAAAUGUUGCACUUAUAUGCCAAUUUCAACUGCCUUGGCUUUUAGUGAAAAGAAAAGAUUUGCAAGCAUUCCCAUGUGUAACAUUAUAUUGGUUCCUUGUCCCAC